rnacentral:rRNA from 1 species
GUGCCAGCCGCCGCGGUAAUACGUAGGGUGCAAGCGUUAAUCGGAAUUACUGGGCGUAAAGCGUGCGCAGGCGGUUUCGUAAGACAGAUGUGAAAUCCCCGGGCUUAACCUGGGAACUGCAUUUGUGACUGCGAGGCUUGAGUGCAGCAGAGGGAGGUGGAAUUCCACGUGUAGCAGUGAAAUGCGUAGAGAUGUGGAGGAACACCAGUGGCGAAAGCGACUUCCUGGUCGAAUACUGACGUUCGUGUGCGAAAGCGUGGGGAGCAAACAGGAUUAGAUACCCUUGUAGUCC